AGUCUUACUGGGUUAGUGUGUGUGCAGUCUUACUGGGUUAGUGUGUGUGCAUCUUACUGGGUUAGUGUGUGUGCAGUGGUAUGAGUCUUACUGGGUUAGUGUGUGUGCAGUGGUAUGAGUCUUACUGGGUUAGUGUGUGUGCAUGUGUAUGAGUCUUACUGGGGUAGUGUGUGUGCAGUGGUAUGAGUCUUACUGGGGUAGUGUGUGUGCAGUGGUAUGAGUCUUACUGCUUAGUGUGUGUGAGUCUUACUGGGUCAGUGUGUGUGCAGUCUUACUGGGUUAGUCUUACUGGGGUAGUGUGUGUGCAGUGGUAUGAGUCUUACUGGGGUAGUGUGUGUGCAUGUGUAUGAGUCUUACUGGGGUAGUGUGUGUGCAGUGGUAUGAGUCUUACUGGGGUAGUGUGUGUGCAGUGGUAUGAGUCUUACUGGGUUAGUGUGUGUGC
ensembl:lncRNA